rnacentral:rRNA from 1 species
CAGCAGCCGCGGUAAUACAGAGGGUGCAAGCGUUAAUCGGAUUUACUGGGCGUAAAGGGCGCGUAGGUGGUUAUUUAAGUGAGAUGUGAAAGCCCCGGGCUUAACCUGGGAACUGCAUCUUAUACUGGGUAACUGGAGUGCAGUAGAGGGUAGCGGAAUUUCCGGUGUAGCGGUGAAAUGCGUAGAUAUCGGAAGGAACACCAGUGGCGAAGGCGGCUACCUGGACUGAGACUGACACUGAGGCGCGAGAGCGUGGGGAGCAAACAGGAUUAGAUACCCCCGUAGUCCCUGUCUCUUAUAC